rnacentral:lncRNA from 1 species
UGGGGCUGCGCCCGGAACGCGCCGGGGAGACGCGCAGACCCCGAGACAUGCGAUGAGGCCAACGAUGAGGUCUCCCAAAGGAAAGUGAUUGAAGACAAAGACCCAUUCUGCCAGUGGGAUAUGCUGGGAAUACCAACUAUACUUGUUACUGAGUGUGCAUGGCUGGUGUUGGCCAGCCUUCCUGAUGCCAGCAAGAGGAGACAGAAGUAAUGACCCAAGCUACACUUUCCAUGACACUCAAAUGGCCAGGCUCUUUGACACCCACCGUGAGGGGCUGUUCCAAAGAUGUUGUGUUCCUACCUCAGUUGGUCCCCACAAGCAGCAGGUUCCUCCUCCAGUAUUCUCCAAUAUUUGACCCUUUUUGAGAUGCAUUUCUCAUAGAUGUGUACUUCCAAUCCACAUUUCCUUCCUACCUCUACCUCGGUUUUGUUUGAGAAAUCCAAAUCAUUUAACACUUCUACCUGCUGUUUCUUUGUGACUUCACAUUCACAGUGAAAUUUCAUUUUGUCCUGCAAUUGUGUGGCUUGCCUUAAUCCGCAAAUAGAGCUUCAAAUUGUUUAUUCCUUUGACCUGGAGUUUAGCCAGCUCCAGCUAGGCUCUGAGUUUGGCUUUGUGUCCAUAAGCCACAGUUGGGAGAAAUGCAAGAACUGCCCAAACAGAAUAAAACAAAUGAUCUAUUUAGUCUUGUUUCCUCUCUUGGAAGAAGUCCAGCGUUGAGUGCCUUGGAAUAAAUGAAAAUCCCCCACCCCACCUCCACUGCUCUCCCAUGCACCCAAACAGUAUGACCUUGUGUUUA